CGGAGCCCCUCACAGUGACGCAAUAUCUGGACAGCAAGCUGAUGGCCGUGAAGGCCGAAGAGAAGAUGGACUACUUUCAGGAGUUCCCUGAACACCCUGAAAUGAUCCUGGACUGACUGAAGGCGCAGCGCGACCAGGACCGGUUCGCUACAUCACGCUGAUUGUCGAGGGAAACCAUUUUGAGGCCCAACAGGCUGUUUCGGCUGCUUGCAUGAUAUCAACUUGUGAAAAGGCCUGGCCAGUUGUCAUGCAGAAAGUCUCUAUUCUGUACUGAUCUCUCUAUUUUCCCAUGGUGUGAAAUUGUCUAUGCGCUGGCUUUCUUAUCAACUGGAAGGGGUCAACAAUUCCAAUGCCAGGAGAGACCAGAGAGAUAGAAGUGAGAGAAUCCAGCUGGGUGAAGACAGUGGAGAGUGAUGGGACCAUCUGUGGCAAGUGGCAG